rnacentral:rRNA from 1 species
CUUUAUAUCUCCACCUGUGCACUCUUUGUAGACCUUUCAGGUCUAUGUUGAAUUUUCAUUUACACCCAAUGUAUGUUAAUAGAAUGUUGUGACUAUAAAAUCUAUACAACUUUCAGCAACGGAUCUCUUGGCUCUCGCAUCGAUGAAGAACGCAGCGAAAUGCGAUAAGUAAUGUGAAUUGCAGAAUUCAGUGAAUCAUCGAAUCUUUGAACGCACCUUGCGCUCCUUGGUAUUCCGAGGAGCAUGCCUGUUUGAGUGUCAUUAAUAUAUAUCAAUCCUCUCUCUUUGUUGGAGUGGCUUGGAUGUGGGGGUUUGCUGGCCUUUGUAAAGGGUUCAGCUCUCCUGAAAUGCAUUAGCAGAACAAACCUGUUCAUUGGUGUGAUAAAUAUCUACGCUAUUGAAUGUGAGGUACAUCUUUCUAACUAACCUUUGGUAGAGAUCAUCAUUUAUGUGACCUCCAAUCAAGUAGGACUACCCGCUGAAUUAAAUCAUAUCAAUAANUGGACGAAGGAA